rnacentral:siRNA from 1 species
CUCGUUAGUAUUCAGAUUUGCCGC